rnacentral:lncRNA from 1 species
UCCCCAGAGCCGACUAGCAGUCCCCGGGGCCAAUGGCCAGCGGAUAAACAGAGGCGGCGGUGGAAGAGGACUGGGCGCGAGGCUCCGCCCCUCGAUGGGACAGUCUGGAGAGGCAGCCAGUGAACCCUCAUCAGCGGGUGGGCGUUUCCCUCAGGGGCGGAGCUUCGAGGGAGCGAGAGGCGUGGCUUGGCUGUCAGGUCCCUUCGCCUUUUGUUCGGUUACUGAGUUGCUGCUUUGGCCAGAGUCCGGAGCAGCCGCCGCCCGAGCGCGCCCAGCUCAGUUCGCUGCCCGCGCCGGCUCCCAGCCCGGCCCGACCCCUACACCCAGCCCGGCCAGGCUCCACAAGCAGGAGGAGCUCACCCCGGAAUCCUUUCCUCGAGAAGCGUUCUGGUGUGUGUCCUCUUUGAACUGUGUGCCGUCCCUGCCCUGGCCCACCCUCCGCCUUCUCUUGUCUGUCUUGGGAAGCCUGAGUCUUAGAUACCAACGUUCCUCUGAGAUCAGCUGGGCCACUCUUUCUGUGGAUGAAGCACAGAGGGCAAGUAAUCGUCUAAGGACACCAGUAAGCUUGUGGCAGAGCUGGGACCAGGACCAGGGCCUGGGACGCCUGAUUUCGUAGCCGGUGCUCUGCCUCCAGCUGUGAGUCCCCUUGGCCUCCCCAGCCUCUCCGCCUGCUCGCAAGGGGCUCCGCUCUACCCACGCCCCAGCCACCCGCUCGCCUUGACCGCAGGGCGUCCCCUGUUAGGAGCCAAGGGAGCAGCCCUUUUUAGCGGGCUGGACGCCGGUGUGCAGCGAGGCCGACCCUAUCUGAGCAGAGCGCUGCCCUGUUCUCAGGGUGGUGUCUCAAGUCUUCUCAACUGGAAAUUGGGCCGGAUAAAUGCCCGCCAGGGUGGCUUUGAGGGAAGCGUGAGAUUCAUUUGACAGUAAAAGCAGCUGAGUGUCCCUUCCCCCAUGGAUCCUUUGACCUCCCUGUGGCUUCUGUCUUGCCCUGGGCAGCCGCCAGCCCUCAGCUUCUCUUGGCUCCAGGCCUGGG